GUAAUCUAAAUCUUAAGUUACACAAUUCUUUCCUAGCUCCCUCUCAUUCCGUGUGACCUAAAUUUUGCUCCUUUGGUGCUCUUGCUCUCACAUUCGGUCUGGAUUCAGCUUUGUGUAACUUAGGGCAAAUCCCAAAAACCAUCCUGUUGUAGGCCAUUUGGAUACCAAAAUAGAGCCGUUGCUGAAUUCAAAAUCAGAUGGCCGUUGUUAUGGACAGUUAACUCAAUUCCGUCAUGGAUGCUUGGAGCUGGAAACUCUGAAGUUCCAACUGAGCACCAAUUAUCGAACGAGAAAGAGGUCCUUGAUUCGUCCCCAAUUUUUGACUUGAUGAGGCAAUUGGCUGCAGGUCUGAGGUGCAGCAGAGAUCUCCAUGUCCAGGCCUCCUACUCAAUUGCAAUAUGCAACUCACCAGAGCCAUCAGAAGAAGAAGCGGAAUUUUUGGGGGAAGAAACGGAAUCCAAAGGAAUUUCCUGCUUGAUUAUAGCACGCCACUCUUCAAUAUAUGCUGCUUUAUCAGGAUUUAGAUUGGGAAGUUCACGCUGCUGAAGGAUUUUCAGAAUCUCUUCAGUUUCACCAAGAAGAUGAGCUGCAUGCUGGACAGUCUUCUCCCUCUUUUCUAUGGCACUGCAAAAGCAUUUCUUAGUUAUAACACUUGGUAAGUUUGUGAGGCAAGCACCCAAUAUGUCUGCGAUCAUAAUAGUUAAUUCCUCUAGUAGUGUCUCAUCAGUGUGGUCGUUGCAGCCUUCAAGGUCCAGCAACACAGUUUGGCUAAUUCUGUACGUUUUAUAAGCAGCAAUAACCUUGAUUCGCCAAUUCGGAGGAUUCUCCUUAUGGUUUCCAUUAUCAUUUGCCUUAAAUUCCAUCACUUUAUUUUUUGCCAUGUUAGCAAGUCUUGAUAGAGUCUCCUUUCAGGUUUUUCCUUCAAGAGUGAUUUUUCAGAGAUCUUCAUCUAGCCAUUUGGAGAAAAGAUCGACUCCUAACCAAACUAUGUCUGCUGCAUUUCUGAAGUUAGCCAAGUCUUCUUUGUCAUUCAGUAUUUCCUCUACUAGGUUGACAUACAAGAGGCCCUCUCUCACACAUCGAAUCAACCGAUUCACUUGGUGAUUUUCAAUGUUGGGAAGUGCAAUGGCAAUGCUUGUUAGGGUAACAACAGGAAGGGACCAACAAUUAAGAGAUUCUUCAGAAUCUAAAGAUGGAACUUGGUCGUUAUCAAACUUUAACACCCCCAUGAAACCAGUAGAUUUUUCUAAAAGCUCUUUCAGAUAUUUAGGCUGCUGCUUUCUACCCUUCUUGAUAAAAUGAUCAGUGGCAUGUUUGUUGUUCUUCACGAUCUGUAGUGGCAGUUCCUCCUCGCCUUCAAGAUGAAAAACAUAAAAGCUAAGAUCUAGCUUUGUACCAGGUUUUGAUUCUGAUACUGUAUGAUUGUUUGAGGCAUUAGAUUCUGGCAGGAGCUUCCGCUUUAACUCCUUGCAGUAGUGGCAAAAUGACAAAAAUGGGCAUAUGAAGAAAAUGGUGAUGAGAAGAAUCAAUUUGCUAGCUAUGACAAUGAAAAUCUGAAAUUUUAUACAGAAGCCAAGAAAUAGAUUCUUUGUGUAGUAAACAAGUUUUUGGCAUUUUUGGCUCUGGAUCUGUAAUGCUAAACGGCCCUCUUUCCACCCAACCAGCCUUGCUAUCCAAUAUUUUCUCUGAGAACCUCAAUUUUGCAGCAAUGAACCAUCUAAAUACUUGGCCAAUUGAACCUACAAGCACUCCAAUUCUCUGCAUAUGGUAAAUAAAUGCUUUUGACUCCCCAUAAUCUGAUGUGGUACUCUGAGGGUAACUGGAGUAGCUGGGGUGCCUGAUCAUCUUGAAAGAGGCUUCUACUAAAAUGAAAGUAGUCAGAAAGCAGAUUGCCCCUGCAGCAGAGCUAGUCACGGAGCGUGCCAUUACAAACUGAGGACUGCUUGUUUCUGCCAACAUCCAAUAUUUUUUCGCAUCCUUUUUCAGUGCAUCAAAUGUAAACUUUUCAGUUUACCUAAUUCUUCACUUGAAGCCAAUUUGUGCAUACCAGCAUACUUCAGUUGGAUAUGCUUUUUGGUAAUUGGAACCAUCAGAGCUGAGAAACUCAAUAUAACAAGCAAAACAAGCAUGAAAAGCAUAACUGCAAUAUGUUCUAUUACAAGAAAAUUACUCAAUAGUCCGGUGUGUAAUUGAAUGCAGACAUUCAAGAAAAUGGUGAUUACCAGAAUACCUAAGGCUGUUAGGUUCAUGAGAAUUUCUGUGUCAUCCAUUGUUCCUAAAGAUGGCAUAAGAUUACCCAUUGCUGUAGACAUGAAAAUGGUGCUGCUAAGUUUAGCCAGUUGAUCAGCCGUUGUUGGCAUGUCAGUACUUAUAUCCAUUGGUAGCUUCAUAGCCACAGCUAACAAUGUCAAAGUAGCAGCAUUGAGAGUUAAAAAUUUGCAUGGAAACCAAAGUUUUUUGUGGCGGAACCCAUGGAAGAGAUCAGCAGCCAUUGCAAGGGAGCAGACUAGAGAUGCUGCUGCAACAUACAUGCCAAUCCAUGGCACCGGUGCUUUGUUUUUCAAUUCCUGUUUCAUUUGGUCGCCGGAUUGAAGUUCCAAACUGCUGCCGUAGUAAGACAUUCGUCUCCUCUCUUUUUCCUUUUCUUUUGGUUAUUGUAUGAGUGAUACUGAUGAAAGGAAUGAAAGAGCUUGAGUUAUAUGCA